CCGAGAGGAACCGUCGCACAGUGCAUGUUACCAAGGCAAAAGGCACUAGCAAGUACCCAUGUGCAGCUGCAAUAGAAGCAGGUGAAUCCACUGGUGGAAAAAAGUACCACUGUCACUAAAAUAUAAAAUCCAACUAAAAACUUCAAACUGCUGCUGUCAAACAACUGCAUCGAAUGAAAAUGUACCACAAAAUGGAAGUUUUCAAACCUGAAAAGGACAGAGGCAUUGCUCCAGUUUCACGUUGGAUUUUCAUCAUCAGGAGCAGGUAGAGGUGUCAGAAUACAGUGUGCCAGCUGAUUCCUUAGCUGAAAGUGCAACAAAUGCAUCUGUCCUUUUUUGCAGCAACUUUAUUGUUUUCUAUGUUACUAGUAUCUCCUGGUUUUUGACAGAUCUGAAUUUCCAUAUAUAUUAUUAAAUACUUCAUACCUCAAGAAGAUGUGCAACAGUUAGGUCUGUUGUAGUAGUAGAAAGUAUAAUAAAAAGUAAAAUAGCUAUUGAACAUUUACAUUUUUUAAAACUGGGUCAAUGCUGUAGGCUUCUUUAGUUUCACUCACAUGAUCUAAAAAAACAAAGUGGUCUCUUCUUCUCGUGACUUAUAAAUUGCCACUUAAUUGGAGACCCUUAUGAAGAAGAAAAAAACACCAGUGGUAGAAAGUAGCCAAUUUAUUUACUCACUUACUUCACUCACUUACUGACUUAUUGCCCUUUUAAGCCACUUCAUACUUUACUCCACAUUUUACAUUUUUAUUGAAAUUUUUUUGCUCCAUUUAUCUGGCAGCAGCAGUUAUUAGUUGUGGUUCUCAAACCUUUUUCCCUUCUGACUGCUCACAAAAAAGAUGUUGAUCACAUGUCAGAUUUCUGUCACAAUCCAAACUUCUCAGAUGGUUUAAUUUCUGUAACUGUUAUUCAAUAUAAAGAAAAGGGCAGAGAUUAACAAAAAAAAAACCCAAUGGAAUCUAAUAAAAACAACCCAUGAAAAGAAAACAGUCUGUGUAAAAGAACUUGAUUUUCUUCUUUCUUCUCCCAUUAAUCAUCUUAUGACCCUAUGUGACCGCAUUAUAUCUCUGAUCUACGUCAUACAUUAUUUUAGGUUCAGUGCCUAACAAAAAUAAUCAUGGAUACAGGGGGACAUCCACCUUUAAAAUGUUGUCAAAUUCUUCUUUCACACUUUUCCAGAAUUAUUGGGUACUCACUCCCAAAACAUAUGUGUGUGAUCCCCUAUUUGUCCACAUUUUUUCCAACAUAAUUCCACAACAGGUUCUUUCACAUAUGAAGAAAUGCUAAGAGGUGUGAUCAAAUACGUGAUUAUUGAUUUCCAGUCAAAUUCUUUCCAUAAUUGGCUAUUUAUUCCUUUAUGAAAAUUAGCAGACAGAUCUUCCCAUAUAUUAUCCUCUAUUUUAAUAUUUAGUACCAGUUCCCAUUUUUUGCUUUGUGUUCAGGGUAUUUUGUGAGGUGUCAUUUGUAAGCCUCUUACAUAUGUGAUUACUUAAUGGGGUACUUUUAGGUCGUUGUGUUUGAAAUCAUUAACCCUCCUGACAGGGUCCUUUCAACAGGGCGGACUGCAUGUGUUUUACUUUGCCGCCCCCUCGCGGUUCGACGAUCUUUUCAACACUCUAUUGUCAUUGGUUCAAACUACCGUCGUUCCUUCCUUGACCAAUGGCACCGGCUCCACUUCUUUUCCCCAGAGACUGUUUUGCAUGCAUG